rnacentral:rRNA from 1 species
UACGGAGGGUGCGAGCGUUGUCCGGAAUCAUUGGGCGUAAAGGGCGCGUAGGUGGCCUGCUAAGCGUGCGGUGAAAGUCGGGGGCUCAACCCCCGAUCGGCCGUGCGAACUGGGAGGCUUGAGCACUGUAGAGGCAGGUGGAAUUCCGGGUGUAGCGGUGGAAUGCGUAGAGAUCCGGAAGAACACCGGUGGCGAAGGCGGCCUGCUGGGCAGUGGCUGACGCUGAGG